rnacentral:tRNA from 11 species
GGUCCCGUGGUGUAGCGGUUAUCACGUCGCCCUGUCACGGCGAAGAUCGCGGGUUCGAUUCCCGUCGGGACCGUCA